rnacentral:rRNA from 1 species
UUUUGGACAAUGGGGGCAACCCUGAUCCAGCAAUGCCGCGUGAGUGAAGAAGGCCUUCGGGUUGUAAAGCUCUUUUGUCAGGGAAGAAACAGCAGCUCUAACACAGUCUGCGAAUGACGGUACCUGAAGAAUAAGCACCGGCUAACUACGUGCCAGCAGCCGCGGUAAUACGUAGGGUGCGAGCGUUAAUCGGAAUUACUGGGCGUAAAGCGCACGUAGGCGGCUUUGUAAGUUAGAGGUGAAAGCCUGGAGCUCAACUCCAGAAUUGCCUUUGAUACUGCAUCGCUUGAAUCCAGGAGAGGUGAGUGGAAUUCCGAGUGUAGAGGUGAAAUUCGUAGAUAUUCGGAAGAACACCAGUGGCGAAGGCGGCUCACUGGACUGGUAUUGACGCUGAGGGGAA